AAACCUUGAUCCCUACCAACAGUGCCUAUGGGGUGACUGCCGGGAGCAGUCAGUUUGCCCGACUGCUGAGGAUCUCGUUCCGACGAUGGAGGGUGGUCAGUUGGGUUUCGCAAGGAUUGUGGACUCCAGACUCUUGCUCUGGUCAAUGCAGACGGGUCCUGAUCAGGGACAUGCUGGAUGGUCACAACUCAGAGUUGUUGAGCUCAAGACACUGCUUCCUGCUGAUGCCUUCCCCAUCUUAGAUUAUUAUGUUUGCUUUGCACAUGGCGUUGGGGUCUUUUUUGUGCCCACGCAGGACAGGCGGUCCAUCUUCAGCAUUGAUCUAAACUCUGGCUGGGUCAGGAAGGAGGAUUGCGGUGACGGUCAGACUCACGGCAUUGUUCCCUAUACAAGUUUCUACACUCCAGAUACUGAUUUGCUUACUUCAUGAUUUAACAAUUUCUAGAACUUUGUAAUCAUCCUCAAGUUAUGAACAUGAAAAUAAGUAUAAUGUUAUAUAUGCUCACGAAUAGCUAGUUUAUGCAAGUGAAAUAUCCAGUGAACUUUGGUACUCCUAAAUUUUUUGUCACGAAGUCCACGAAACUGGCUAGAUGUGCCUAGGAAUUUGUUCUGCCAACUGCCAUAAGUUUUGUGGGCAGAUGAGGGGACUUGGCAAUUUGAUCUAAAUUUAAGCAGAGCCAGGAAAUUAUCUGGCAAACAUAGAAAAGCCAGAUAUCUGGCUCAAUUAUUGUUUGUAUUUUCUUCUGCGCAUUUUAAUAAGAAAUAAUGUCACUCGUCUGGGUCCAUAUAUCAUGUAUCUUUGUUAUCCUGCUUAAUGUAGCCACAUGCAGGUGAAUAUAUAUUCACUCUGGUCUGCAGAUUUUCAUCAGUACGGUGUAGCUCCUGUCUGAACUGUACAAGUGCUGACCAAAUUUCAUCAACACCUGCGUUGUAUAUUUGGAGGUUGGAAAAGGAUGUUAAAGGCUGAAGACGUUUAGCUGGAAAAACAAGUGACGAGUUGACCAGAGGCAAACAAGGUGCUCUUGGAUGGAGUGAGGAGGAUGCCAAAUUUUUUUUCCCGACCAAAGGUCUCGCUGAAGCAGUAGUGGUGAAAACCAACGCAAAAACUCCUUGAAUAUUCUCGUCUCCUGACUGCUAGAGCUUCAAUCUGCAACCUUCAAUGUUCUAGUAUCCUGUUAGUGAUGCGUCUGAUGACAUCAUGUACUUUUCCGUGCCUACAUCCAAGAGCAGGUUCAGUUCC